GACGAACGCUGGCGGCGUGCUUAACACAUGCAAGUCUACGAGAAUAAGGUAGCAAUAUCUUUAGUAAAGUGGCGCACGGGUGAGUAACACGUAAGUAACCUACCUUUAGAUUUGGAAUAACCCCGAGAAAUCGGGGCUAAUACCGAAUGAUGCAGCGGCACCACAUGGUGAUGUUGUUAAAGUCUAUAUGACGUCUAAAGAUGGGCUUGCGUCUGAUUAGCUAGUUGGUGAGGUAACGGCCCACCAAGGCUUCGAUCAGUAGCUGGUCUGAGAGGAUGAUCAGCCACACUGGAACUGAGACACGGUCCAGACUCCUACGGGAGGCAGCAGUGAGGAAUAUUGGGCAAUGCCCGGAAGGGUGACCCAGCAACGCCGCGUGGAGGAUGAAUGUCGUAAGAUUGUAAACUCCUGUUAGAGGGGAAGAAUAAUUCCGAUCGACUCGGAAAUUGACUGUACCCUCAGAGAAAGCCCCGGCUAACUACGUGCCAGCCGCCGCGGUAAAAC
rnacentral:rRNA from 1 species